rnacentral:rRNA from 1 species
AUGGUGUCGUGGAGUGAUGAGACCAGUGAGGAUUCAGUCAUGAACAUCUCCUCCUCCUGCGAUGGCAUCAUCAAGCUUCCAUCUACGAUGCACGACCCGAAUUUCAAUGGCACUGACGCAGAUGUGAAUGUUUUGUGCGAACACGGCGAGCCGGCCGAGCGCUUAGUUGCAUUUGAAGGGAUGCACACUGGCAGCAGGUUUCUAGGAUGUACUAAGAAGGAAGGCAUAAACUGUGGAGUAGUUCAAUGGAUUGAUUUUGAAUGGCCAGACUCAAUGGAGAAGGCAUUGGCCAAGUUAUGGGAUAUGUAUGAGGAGAGUAAGCCAGGUAGAACCAAUGACAAUCUGGAGAGUUCCUUUGUAAUUCACAACCUGACUGAAGAGAAGAAGAAACUACAGGAGAAUUAUGAUAGUUUGUAUGCUGAUGUCAAUGCUCUCUUGGAUGCCCAGCAACAGAGGGGUCUGGAGUUAAGCAAUCAAAAGGAGCAGAAGCAAUGUCUUGAUGUGAAGAUUGCAGAGCUAGAAACUAUAGUGGGCAACUUGAAGGCAGAGCUGGCAAAGAAAGAGGAGGAGAAGAAGAAAGUACGGGAGGACUAUGACAGUUUGUAG